AACACUUCUUCCUUUCUUCGAAACACACCCUCCUCUUCUUUGAAACAAUGCCUUAAAAGCGAAAACCUUAACACAGAGCUCAUCACCCUAACGGCGGCGGCGCUCUUCACCUAACAUAGAGCUCAUCGCCGGUGCUCUCACUCUCUCCCCUAAUAACACUCGUUGGUCAACCUCGUUCCAACCCUCUCUAGCAAUCCCUCCGUAGGUGCCACCUCUGCCGGUGUUCCCUGCAUCGGCGCUCCUUCCGUCUCUCCUGUAAACACCUAUCCCUCCUGCGGCGGUGACUCAUUCUGGUAAGGCCUCCCUCGGCGCUCACUCUCUGUCGCAAACCCUCCGUCGACGCUCUCUCUCGCAAACCCUCAAUCGUCACUCCUCCCUCCAUGGUUUGGCACCCGCCGCGUUGCCGUCUCCCUCUCUGAAGUCGUCGCACCGCCGUCUCCACCUCCGUCACUCGUCGCACCUCCGUCAGCCACGUUCAGCGUUCGCAGCACCGUGGACAUUCAAGAGGCUCAUGGGGCAAAUAGUUCCUGUAUUUGGUGUUGAUUGUGCAUCAGGAGAUACGUUUACUGAUGGAUCAGUUAAAUACACAAUGACUUCCAUAAAUGUUCCUGAACCUGUAAUGUCAUUAGCUAUAUAGCCAGUUUCAAAAGAUUCUGGAGGGCAAUUUUCAAAAGCUUUGAAUCGCUUCCAGAAAGAGGAUCCUACAUUCCGUGUUGGUUUAGACCCAGAG